UUUGUACUCCAUCCGUCCCAAAAUUCUUGUCUUAAAUUUGUCUAAAUACGAAUGUAUCUAGUUACAUUUUAGUGUUAGAUACAUCCGUAUCUAAACAAAUGUAAGACAAGAAUUUUGGGACGGAGGGAAUACUAC
rnacentral:pre_miRNA from 1 species